CACUCCUGCGGGAGGCAGCAGUGGGGAAUAUUGGACAAUGGGCGCAAGCCUGAUCCAGCCAUGCCGCGUGAGUGAUGAAGGCCCUAGGGUUGUAAAGCUCUUUCACCGGUGAAGAUAAUGACGGUAACCGGAGAAGAAGCCCCGGCUAACUUCGUGCCAGCAGCCGCGGUAAUACGAAGGGGGCUAGCGUUGUUCGGAUUUACUGGGCGUAAAGCGCACGUAGGCGGACUAUUAAGUCAGGGGUGAAAUCCCGGGGCUCAACCCCGGAACUGCCUUUGAUACUGGUAGUCUUGAGUUCGAGAGAGGUGAGUGGAAUUCCGAGUGUAGAGGUGAAAUGCGUAGAUAUUCGGAGGAACACCAGUGGCGAAGGCGGCUCACUGGCUCGAUACUGACGCUGAGGUGCGAAAGCGUGGGGAGCAAACAGGAUUAGAUACCCCGGUAGUCCCA
rnacentral:rRNA from 1 species